AUUAUGCUACCUUUGCACAGUUAGAAUACUGCGGCCAUUUAAAAUUUCAGUGGGCAGGUUAGACUUUAAAUUUAAUUCAAAAAGACAUGUUUUUGUUAAACAGGCGGAUAUUAUUUUUGCCGAAUUCUUUACAUAAACUUUUCAUUUUAAUUUAUUUAUACAAUAAAAUAUACUAAUUUUAUCAUUAUUACUUAAUUUUAAAAAUUAAAAUUAAUAUUUCAAUAAAUAAUUAAAAUAUAAUAAAUAAUUUACCACAUAAAAUAAAUUAUAACAUAAUUUCAAACAUUUGCUAAUUCUAAGCAUAUAUUUAUUAAAUUUAUUUAUUAUUUAUAAAAAUUUAUUUUAUAGCUUAUCCCAUAAAAUAUUAAAUUUAUAAAUUAUUAAAUUAAAAAAUCUAUUUAAUAAAUUUAUAAAUUCUGAAUUAAAUUCAUUUCUUGAAAAACUAGAUACCUUUAAAAACGAAUAACAUUUCAUUUCUAAUAUAAUAUUAAAAAUAAUUUUAUCACAUUAACUUUUAUAUUAUAUUAACUCUUUUAAAAUCGAGAAAAAUAUUUUUUAUAUUUUUUAUUUAAUAAACACUGAUACACAAGGUACAAUAAAUUAAAUUUUCUUUUAAAAUAAUAAUUUUUCAAAUUAUUUCAAUUUUCUUUUACAAUACUAUUAAACUAUAAUUAAAUUUAUUUUUUCUUUAAACAAUACUAAAACUUUUUAUUAUAAAAUUAUUUUUAAUAUUUUACAAAAAAAUUAAUAAAAUUAAUAAAUAAAAUCUAA
rnacentral:rRNA from 1 species